GGUAAAACGAAUCUUUAAUUGGGUUUCAUUUCUUUAAUUAUGUUCGUAAAAAGCUAAAUUUGCAUAAAUAUUUGUGGAUUACAAAUACGGAAGAAAGUUAUUAGGAAAAGAGAAAAAAAUAUAAAAAUUAAAGCCGCCCGAACAGGGACUCGAACCCUGGACCCUCAGAUUAAAAGUCUGAUGCUCUACCGACUGAGCUAUCCAGGCGAUGGAGGACUUAGAGAAGAAGAUAUUUGUAAUAACAUCUACUAACCUGCCCAUUCUAUGUCCGAGUGGUCCGAAAAGAUUAGUACCAAUCAGAUAACUAAUGCUUGCUGGUAGAAAGGCAGCACCUUGCUCCCAUCUACUCGCAUCCAUCGUGUCCAUCAUCCAGAUAGGAAGACUGGGUUCUAGCAUUGCGAUACCCAUAUUGGCGAACGUAAUAGCACCUGAAAAAUAGAUUGGUCAUUGGCAACUGAAAGGGUAAUAAUACGCGUUAAUCCGAGGUGGAACAAAUACAGUUUAGCGGAUAAAAGAAUUCCAUAAAAUUGUAUUUGACAAGAGUAAUGAAUAAAUACAACAUACACGAUAAUAUGGUGAAAAAUAUACGUGGUACAAAAGUUGCUAACAUGCGCAUAUACAACUAAAUUACUUGGUUAGUGAAUGGAAAAAUAAUAGGUACCAGCAGCUAAAGAGAUGUAAGGAUCGGUGACCAGAGAUUUGAGAGACGGUGGUUCCGCUUCGGUGUACACGACAGACGGUUGAAGCACCAAAAGUUGAAGAACUGGGAA